GACGAACGCUGGCGGCGUGCUUAACACAUGCAAGUCGAACGGAAAGGCCCUGCUUUUGUGGGGUGCUCGAGUGGCGAACGGGUGAGUAACACGUGAGUAACCUGCCCUUGACUUUUGGAUAACUUCAGGAAACUGGGGCUAAUACCGGAUAUGAGCUCCUGCUGCAUGGUGGGGGUUGGAAAGUUUCGGCGGUUGGGGAUGGACUCGCGGCUUAUCAGCUUAUUGGUGGAGUAGUGGCUUACCAAGGCUUUGACGGGUAGCCGGCCUGAGAGGGUGACCGGCCACAUUGGGACUGAGAUACGGCCCAGAGUACUACGGGAGGCAGCAGUGGGGAAUAUUGCACAAUGGGCGGAAGCCUGAUGAAGCAACGCCGCGUGCGGGAUGACGGCCUUCGGGUUGUAAACCGCUUUCGCAUGUGACGAAGCGUGAGGGACGGUAAUGGGUAAAGAAGCACCGGCUAAAUACGU
rnacentral:rRNA from 1 species